GCACCAGUGGUGGAAUCGGCAGACACGUACGCUUGAGGGGCGUAUGGGGCGACCCGUGCAGGUUCAAGUCCUGUCUGGUGCACCA
rnacentral:tRNA from 1 species